rnacentral:rRNA from 1 species
UACGUAGGGGGCAAGCGUUAUCCGGAUUUACUGGGUGUAAAGGGAGCGUAGGCGGGGAUGCAAGUUGGGUGUUAAAUCUACCGGCUCAACUGGUAGUCGCACUCAAAACUGCAGCUCUUGAGUGAAGUAGAGGCAGGCGGAAUUCCUAGUGUAGCGGUGAAAUGCGUAGAUAUUAGGAGGAACACCAGUGGCGAAGGCGGCCUGCUGGGCUUUUACUGACGCUGAGGCACGAAAGCGUGGGGAUCGAACAGG